UGAGUACGAGAUGCUACGGCAUCGAAGCAGUCUAUGUCAUACUUCCAAGAAAAGCUUGCAAUGUCAUAAACAAAUAAUGCCUGUACCAUAACCGACACAGGUGGGUAGGUAGAGUAUACUAAGGGGCGCGAGAUAACUCUCUCUAAGGAACUCGGCAAAAUGACUCCGUAACUUCGGGAGAAGGAGUGCCUUAUUUUUAUAAGGUUGCAAUAACAAGAUCCAAGCAACUGUUUUACCAAAAACACAGGUCUCCGCUAAGUCGUAAGACGAUGUAUGGGGGCUGACGCCUGCCCAGUGCCAGAAGGUUAAAGAAGUUGGUUAGCAUUAGCGAAGCUGAUAACUGAAGCCCUGGUGAACGGCGGCCGUAACAAUAACGGUCCUAAGGUAGCGAAAUUCCUUGUCGGGUAAGUUCCGACCCGCACGAAAGGCGUAAUGAUUUGGAUACUGUCUCGGAGAGGGGCUCGGUGAAAUAGACUUGUCUGUGAAGAUGCGGACUACCUGCACCUGGACAGAAAGACCCUAUGAAGCUUUACUGUAACUUGAGAAAAUUGGACUUUAUCUGCGCAGUAUAGGUGGGAGACGUUGAAAAUAUUCUUGCGGGAAUAUUGGAGUCAUCAGUGAGAUACCACUCUUAUAAUGUUAGAUUUCUAACUUUGUAUCAUUAUCUGGUCAAAGAACAGUUUCAGGCGGGCAGUUUGACUGGGGCGGUCGCCUCCCAAACGGUAACGGAGGCGCACAAAGGUUUCCUCUGAACGUGUAGAAAUCGUAUCUAGAGUGUAAAGGCAUAAGGAAGCUUGACUGUGAGACCUACAAGUCGAGCAGGGACGAAAGUCGGUCUUAGUGAUCUGACGGUGCUGAGUGGAAAGGCCGUCACUCAACGGAUAAAAGUUACUCUAGGAUAACAGGCUGAUCUCCCCCAAGAGUUCACAUCGAUGGGGAGGUUUGGCACCUCGAUGUCGGCUCAUCGCAUCCUGGGGCGGUAGUACGUCCCAAGGGUUGGGCUGUUCGCCCAUGAAAGCGGUACGCGAGCUGGGUUCAGAACGUCGUGAGACAGUUCGGUCCAUAUCCGGUGUAGGCGUUAGAAUAUUGAGAGGAGCCUUCUUUAGUACGAGAGGACCGAGAAGGACAUACCUCUGGUGUACCAGUUAUCGUGCCAACGGUAAACGCUGGGUAGCCAUGUAUGGAGAGGAUAACCGCUGAAAGCAUCUAAGUGGGAAGCCCACCUCAAGAUAAGUAUUCUC
rnacentral:rRNA from 1 species